CUUGCAUGAUCACUUCCAGUGAAAGAAAACUCACUACCUUCCUGGACAGCCCAUUCUGUUUUCAGAUUGCUUUCCUAGCCAGCUUUUCAUAUGUCAAGGUGAUAUCUACUUCCAUGACUUCUAGGGAUGGGCUUGCUGGUGCCUGAUUGUAUAAUGUAUGGAAAGUCUUCAAAGCUUUGAAGUGUUUCCUUUGACUGGGUUAACUAUCCUUGGUACCCAUAUACUACCUCUGUGGGUGGUGGGAACCCACAUUAUUAUUACUUUUUCUAAAUGUUUAUGACAAGGAGCUAUUUGAAGAGAGCUCCCCAGUGGCAUAGCUCUCUCCCACAUGAGGACUGUCAUCCACAGCCAUCACAGCAAAAUGGCGACUGCCCCUACCUCAGGACUUGGCACAGUGGUGGGCACAUUGAGCACCUUGAGUCUGCUGCUCCUGAAGCUGCCCAGGUCUCCUUCUCUGAAGACAAAGCCUCAGAGGACCAGAUGAGGCGUGGGGGGCCCUAACCUCCAGGAUCCCCAGCUCUCUGCUCCAGUCAUGAGCACAAAUUCCCACCUGCUGUCCAUGCUCAGCUGCUGCCUCUUGUGUGACAAUUUCUCACGGAUGGUGCAGAUCACUCUUGCAUUUCUGCUUUUGACCCAAAGGUCACAAUAAAACAAGCCCUGUCCCCAGGGCACACCUUACUUCUGUCAAAUCCCUAUUCAUUUCUAAGAGCUGA
rnacentral:lncRNA from 1 species